AGUGAACGCUGGCGGUAGGCCUAACACAUGCUAGCCGAACGGCAGCACAGGAGAGCUUGCUCUCUGGGUGGCGAGUGGCGGACGGGUGUGGAAUACAUCGGUAUCUGCCCAGUCGCGGGGGAUAACGUAUGGAAACUUACGCUAAUACCGCAUCCGACCCCCGGGAGCAUGAGGGGGAUCGCAAGAUCUCUCGCGACUGGAUGAGCCGAUGUCGGAUUAGCUAGUUGGCGGGGCAAUGGCCCACCAAGGCGACGACCCGUAGCUGUUCUGAGCGGCUGAUCAGCCACGCUGGAACUGAGAAACGACCCAGACUCCGACGGGAGGCAGCAGUCUAGAAUGUUGGACAAUGGGCGCAAGCCUGAGCCAGCCAUUCCGCGUGGGUGAAGGAGGCCUUCGGGUUGUAAAGCCCUUUUGUUGUGAAAGAAAUCUUUCAGUCUAAUACCCUGGGAGGAUGACGUGACCCAAAGAAUAAGCACCGACUAGCUUCAUG
rnacentral:rRNA from 1 species